rnacentral:hammerhead_ribozyme from 1 species
AUUCAGCUGACGAAUUUCAAACAAGACGAAAUGCGCGUCAUGGAU